AUAGACUACUUUAUACAUCGGGGAAUAUAGUUAGUAAUAAUAAUAUAGAAAUUGGCUAUAUGCUGGAACCCCCUUAGAGCUUUAAGUACUAAAAUUUAAUUAGAAUAGUGAAAAUCUUAAAGAUUGGGCAAUCAGCAGGGAAGUUGUUUAUUUAGGUGAUAGUCACUGUAAAAUAUCUAACCCCUCAACGACUACACGCCAACAUCCAGGAGCUACAUAAUUGUAUUCUUAUGCUGGAUGAAUAUAUAGUCUAAUCUUAAUUGAAAGAUUAAG
rnacentral:ncRNA from 1 species